rnacentral:rRNA from 1 species
AUGUGUGCAGGCAUAGAGGAGGUAUUUCCGUUGGCAGUGCACAGGCACUGCAGGUGGCAUAUUAUUAAGAAGGCUGAGGAGACACUAGGACCAUUCUUUGCUGGCCGUCUAGAGCUGCACAAGGCAUUCGAGUUGUGCGUGGACCACAGCUUGAUGGUGGAGGAGUUUGAACAGAGUUGGAAGGCUAUGAUUGAAACAUACCAAGUACGAGACAACGAGACACUUACUAGCUUGUGGGAGAAGCGAAUGUACUGGGUGCCGGCCUACUUCAUGCAGUGCUUCUUCCCAUUUCUGCAGACUACGCAGUGUAGCGAGGGGUUCAAUGCUGUUUUGAAGCGGUACAUGAGCCCUGGCAACUCAUUGCUGCAGUUUGCCAAGCAAUACGUACACAGCUUUGCAACAGAAAAUACUGGGAUCUGA